rnacentral:rRNA from 1 species
CCUACGGGUGGCAGCAGUGAGGAAUAUUGGUCAAUGGGCGCGAGCCUGAACCAGCCAAGCCGCGUGAAGGAUGACUGCCCUAUGGGUUGUAAACUUCUUUUAUAAAGGAAUAAAGUGAGGCACGCGUGCCUUUCUGAAUGUACCGUACGAAUAAGGAUCGGCUAACUCCGUGCCAGCAGCCGCGGUAAUACGGAGGAUUCGAGCGUUAUCCGGAUUUAUUGGGUUUAAAGGGUGCGUAGACGGGUGGUUAAGUUAGAUGUGAAAGUUUGCGGCUCAACCGUGGAAUUGCAUUUGAUACUGGCCGUCUUGAGAGCAGUUGAGGUAGGCGGAAUGCAUGGUGUAGCGGUGAAAUGCUUAGAUAUCACAAAGAACACCGAUUGCGAAGGCAGCUUACCAAGCUACCGCUGACGUUGAGGCACGAAAGUGUGGGUAGCAAACAGGAUUAGAUACCCGGGUAGUC